rnacentral:rRNA from 1 species
CCUACGGGGGGCUGCAGUGGGGAAUAUUGGACAAUGGGGGCAACCCUGAUCCAGCCAUGCCGCGUGUGUGAAGAAGGCCCUCGGGUUGUAAAGCACUUUCAGUGAGGAAGAACGCCUGGUGGUUAAUACCCAUCAGGAAAGACAUCACUCACAGAAGAAGCACCGGCUAACUCCGUGCCAGCAGCCGCGGUAAUACGGAGGGUGCGAGCGUUAAUCGGAAUUACUGGGCGUAAAGCGCGCGUAGGUGGCUUGAUAAGCCGGUUGUGAAAGCCCCGGGCUCAACCUGGGAACGGCAUCCGGAACUGUCAAGCUAGAGUGCAGGAGAGGAAGGUAGAAUUCGCGGUGUAGCGGUGAAAUGCGUAGAGAUCGGGAGGAAUACCAGUGGCGAAGGCGGCCUUCUGGACUGACACUGACACUGAGGUGCGAAAGCGUGGGUAGCAAACAGGAUUAGAUACCCUAGUAGUC